GCUCAGUUGGUUAAGUGUCCAACUCUUGACUUUGGCUCAGGUCAUGAUCUUGCAGUUUGUGAGUUUGAAUCCCACAUUGGGCU
rnacentral:tRNA from 1 species